UACGGGGGGGGCAAGCGUUGUUCGGAAUUACUGGGCGUAAAGGGCUCGUAGGUGGCCAACUAAGUCGGACGUGAAAUCCCUCGGCUUAACCGGGGAACUGCGUCCGAUACUGGUUGGCUUGAGUUUGGGAGAGGGAUGCGGAAUUCCAGGUGUAGCGGUGAAAUGCGUAGAUAUCUGGAGGAACACCGGUGGCGAAGGCGGUGGUCUGGGCCGGCACUGACGCUGAGGAGCGAAAGCGUGGGGAGCGAACAGG
rnacentral:rRNA from 1 species